ensembl:lncRNA
GGAUGGGACGAGAGAGAGGAUGGACUGAACGAGAGAGAGGAUGGACAGAAUGAGAGAGAGGAUGGACUGAACGAGAGAGAGGAUGCACAGAACGAGAGAGAGGAUGGACAGAACGAGAGAGAGGAUGCACAGAACGAGAGAGAGGAUGAACAGAACGAGAGAGAGGAUGGACAGAACGAGAGAGAGGAUGGACAGAACGAGAGAGAGGAUGAACAGAACGAGAGAGAGGAUGGACAGAACGAGAGAGAGGAUGAACAGAACGAGAGAGAGGAUGGACAGAACGAGAGAGAGGAUGCACAGAACGAGAGAGAGGAUGCACAGAACGAGAGAGCACUCUGGCAGCUGUCCUCUCAGCCCUCUGUAGGAGAGAAAAUGUGUUUUCCACUCUUUUAUCUUCAUUAGAGUUUGUGUGUGUGUUGUGUAUGCAUGUGUGUGUGUGUGUGUGUGUGUGUGUGUGUUUCUGUGUUCGUAUCAUCCCAAAGACAGUGUUUGGUGCAAUAAUGUGUCUUAACAUGUUUAACAUGUAGAAGUAAGAAAGCACAAAUCCUGAUGUGGAGAUACUUCCUGUAUUAUGUUUAUAAUUACUGCCAUAUGGAGAUUUUUCAAUGACAAUCAACUACUAGACAAUCAGCUAAUCAAUCAAGUUGUUUUCAAAUGUGUCAAUAAACACACACACACACACACACACACACACACACACACACACAUACACACACACUGUACACACACAUAGCUCUGUGCAAAACACCGCCAUCUUGUGGUCACUAGUUAUACUGCUGGCUGCUCUUAGAGACACGUGACAUUUUGAAAAGGGAGCUGUUGGAACACGGCUGUCAGCGUUCUCCGUUUAUAAACCUACUGUAACCUAUGGUAGUGUUAAGUAGUUUGAUACGGCGGGACAUUGUGUGUUUGAUUCAUUUAGAAUCUGUCGAAUGUUUCUUUCUAUUUAAGAUAAAACGCAUGUACUGUAUAUUCCGUCCGUUUUCAAAGGAGUUCUCUCAUAGCAGAGGCUGCGUCACAAAUCAACCCCAGUGUACAUAGACUUAGCUGUAACAAACUAACUAUCUCUCUGGUAGAGAUGUUACUGUAAAAACCAAAAUGGACAUAUGCAGAAGUGACACACACGCACACUUGCUAGCCACAAGGCGCGCUGUCGACACGUGGAACAGAGCUGUAAAGCUAACAGGCGUUUUCAUGUGUCACCAAAGGGGAUGUUCAAAUAGCAUGAUGUGUUUGUGCGUGUGCGUGUAUUUGUGGGUGUGUGUGUUUCUUUAAGAGCGACAAUCUGUCCCAAUAUAUCCAUUGUACAUGUGUAUUUAACUCUACAUGGUGUUGCCAUUGUGUAAAGAUUAUGUAUCUGAUGCUUUGUGUUGCUGUGUUGCUGUGUGGCUCGACGGGGUUCGUGUGACCCAAAUGCACAAGGAUGAUUGGUCGGAGGUCAUAGAGGGUCACACCCACCAGACAAUCGACUGUCAAUCACCUAUCAAUCAGUUUGAUAAUCUGAUUGGGUAAUAAGGAGCAUCUUGCUGUGACUGGAUUGAGCACACUGGUAGCUCCUCCCUUUAGAGAGACUCAUGCUGCUGUAGAGACACACACACACACGUUUAUAAGACACUGCUGUGUCUGACUCUAUGCAAACAAUCUGCUUUUUUGCUGACUGCCCUGGGAACACACACACACAUCUGCUCUGUACUAGGUGCAGGGGGCAGGGUGAGAAGCCAUGAUGGGACUGCCUCCGACCGGAGACACUUCUGCCGCAAUGAGGACUUUUACUUUGAAAUGUAUGUCUGUUUUAAACAACUUUUACUUCAAUUUUUUUUUCUCUUAUCUGAUGUUUUACUUCCAGGUUGAUGAGGCUUCAGUAGAUGUUCUUGUGUUCGCAUGGCUUCUUUCUAUCUGUCCUUGUUUCUUUCCUUUGUUUUCUUUUAAAACUGAAUUCAAAUAAAGACGAUUUAAGGUUGUGGAGGAGAAAUGAAUAGCGGAGUACAACACGAUUGUGCAACACAAAAGUGAGUCGAAAACAAACAUUAUCGUGUUUAUUUUUUUGUGUGCAAUUUUGUAUAGAUAGAUUUGACUAAACAGUGC